GGGGCCGCCCUGGUUUCGACGGGGUCGUGCAGUGCGAGAUGCGUGUCCGGGAGCCGUGCUUGACGGUUAAAACAGUACGGAAACUUCAACUGCCAACGACGAGCCUUCGCUCGCCAUGGCUGCCUGACCUAGUCGAAUAGACUAGCCAGGUGCGUUCGACUGGGUGACCCCGCCCGUGGUCCCUGGUCGGGCGAGAUCAAAACGGGCUAGCGGCCCGCCGAUGCCUCGGCGGCGGAUCGCGAAGUUGACGAGGCUGGGUCGGAGUGCGGUCUGUCAGUGAACCGCGCCGGCCGACACAAAUCACGAGACUACACACGUAGUAUCUCGCGUGAAUCGACUUUCGGACGCGGGUUCGAUUCCCGCCGGCUCCAUCA
rnacentral:tmRNA from 1 species